rnacentral:rRNA from 1 species
AACGAACGCUGGCGGCAUGCCUAACACAUGCAAGUCGAACGAGACCUUCGGGUCUAGUGUCGCACGGGUGCGUAACGCGUGGGAACCUGCCCUUAGGUUCGGAAUAACUCCCCGAAAGGGGUGCUAAUACCGGAUAAUGUCUUCGGACCAAUGAUUUAUCGCCUUUGGAUGUGCCCGCGUUGGAUUAGCUCGUUGGUAGGGUAAAAGCCUACCAAGGCGACGAUCCAUAGCUGGUCUGAGAGGAUGAUCAGCCACACUGGGACUGAGACACGGCCCAGACUCCUACGGGAGGAAGCAGUGGGGAAUAUUGGACAAUGGGCGAAAGCCUGAUCCAGCCAUGCCGCGUGAGUGAUGAAGGCCUUAGGGUUGUAAAGCUCUUUUACCCGGGAUGAUAAUGACAGUACCGGGAGAAUAAGCUCCGGCUAACUCCGUG